UUAACUCAAAAUUGUAUGAAGUUGGAACAGCGCCCCUACCGGCAAAGGUAGGCAAACGUUCCAAUUCCAUACAAAUUUGAGUUA
rnacentral:pre_miRNA from 1 species